rnacentral:rRNA from 1 species
GACGAACGCUGGCGGCGUGCCUAACACAUGCAAGUCGAACGGAAAGGCCCUGCUUUUGCGUGGUGCUCGAGUGGCGCACGGGUGAGUAACACGUGAGUAACCCGCCCUUGACUUUGUGAUAUCUUCAGGAAACUGCGGCUAAUACCGGAUAGGAGCUCCUGCUGCACGGUGGUGGUUGGAAAGUUUCGGCGGUUGGGGAUGGACUCGCGGCUUACGAGCUUGUUGGUCGAGUAGUUGCUUACCAAGUCUUUGACGGGUAGCCGGCCUGAGAGAGGUAACGGGGUCCUGAGGACUACGAGAGGCAGCAGUCGCGUACGGGAGGCAGUGGGCGGAAGCAUUGCACAGUGGGGGGAAGCGUGUGACGGAGGCGCUGGGUGCGGAAUGACGGCCUACGGGUUGUGAACCGCUUUCGCCUGUGACGAGGCGUGAGUGACGGUAAUGGGUAAAGAAGCACCGGCUAACUACGUG